AUAUUCUGUAGCAAGGUUAACCGUAUAGGGGAGCCGGAGGGAAACCGAGUCUUAAUUGGGCGUUAAGUUGCAGGGUAUAGACCCGAAACCCGGUGAUCUAGCCAUGGGCAGGUUGAAGGUUGGGUAACACUAACUGGAGGACCGAACCGACUAAUGUUGAAAAAUUAGCGGAUGACCUGUGGCUGGGGGUGAAAGGCCAAUCAAACCGGGAGAUAGCUGGUUCUCCCCGAAAGCUAUUUAGGUAGCGCCUCGUGAAUUCAUCUCCGGGGGUAGAGCACUGUUUCGGCUAGGGGGCCAUCCCGGCUUACCAACCCGAUGCAAACUGCGAAUACCGGAGAAUGUUAUCACGGGAGACACACGGCGGGUGCUAACGUCCGUCGUGAAGAGGGAAACAACCCAGACCGCCAGCUAAGGUCCCAAAGUCAUGGUUAAGUGGGAAACGAUGUGGGAAGGCCCAGACAGCCAGGAUGUUGGCUUAGAAGCAGCCAUCAUUUAAAGAAAGCGUAAUAGCUCACUGGUCGAGUCGGCCUGCGCGGAAGAUGUAACGGGGCUAAACCAUGCACCGAAGCUGCGGCAGCGAACGUAUCACCCAAGACAACUUUACGGAGUUGACGAUUGACGGAGCGAAGCGACGUCAAAGCGUUCAUUAAAGUCGAGUUGGCUUAGGGAUACGUUCGUUGGGUAGGGGAGCGUUCUGUAAGCCUGUGAAGGUGUGUCGUGAGGCAUGCUGGAGGUAUCAGAAGUGCGAAUGCUGACAUAAGUAACGAUAAAGCGGGUGAAAAGCCCGCUCGCCGGAAGACCAAGGGUUCCUGUCCAACGUUAAUCGGGGCAGGGUGAGUCGACCCCUAAGGCGAGGCCGAAAGGCGUAGUCGAUGGGAAACGGGUUAAUAUUCCCGUACUUGGUGUUACUGCGAAGGGGGGACGGAGAAGGCUAUGUUGGCCGGGCGACGGUUGUCCCGGUUUAAGCGUGUAGGUGUGUGUUCCAGGUAAAUCCGGUUCACUUUAACACUGAGGCGUGACGACGAGGCACUACGGUGCUGAAGCAACAAAUGCCCUGCUUCCAGGAAAAGCCUCUAAGCAUCAGGUAACACGAAAUCGUACCCCAAACCGACACAGGUGGUCAGGUAGAGAAUACCAAGGCGCUUGAGAGAACUCGGGUGAAGGAACUAGGCAAAAUGGUGCCGUAACUUCGGGAGAAGGCACGCUGACAC
rnacentral:rRNA from 1 species